rnacentral:tRNA from 1 species
GCGGGUGUGGCGAAACUGGUAGACGCACUAGAUUUAGGUUCUAACGCCGCGAGGCGUGGGGGUUCAAGUCCCUCCACCCGCACCA